AGCUGUGUUUGGAAGAAGUCCGAUAUGUGACAAUACUGCAAGAGGGCCUGAUCAAAAACAUAUCCAGUAUCAUCAACCAUUUUCGAAACCUUCUACUUCAAAAAUUGGAAAUAAUGCCGAUUCUACGAUUCCUGAUAUUUUGUCUAGACGAACCAGCAUUUAAACAGUGGAUACUGCGUUUUAAAUUG